AAGAUUUUCAAAUUCGGCCCAGAACUUUCCCUUAUUUCUAAAGAAGGCCCAUCACGUGUUAGGUCACAUAUAUAUAUAUAUAUAUAUAUAUAUAUAUAUAUAUAUAUAUAUAGUUUUAAAGGUCAUUGUUUAGAUCUAAGGUUGGAGAGGCUAAUCUCCUUAUCUCUUUUGUUCUUGGGAGCAAAACCAUGUGGAGACUCUUUUUAGAGAAGAUCUUUCUUACUCUUUCUCUUGAUAUAUGGACUAUUGAUUUCUUAUUCAAAUUAAUGAUUUCUUAUUCAGACUAUGAUUUGUGUUUCUAUGUUCAUGUUUGAGAAGCUUUCUUGUUAGGGUUAGGGUUCCUCAUUAGGGAUUUAGAUGAUUUAGUUGGUUUCCCCAUUGCUAGGUUAUCUUUAGGAUUCUUCAUUUUAAUUGAUCUUAAUGCUAGUUCUAGAUUGAUCACCUAGAACUUGAUCUUAGAUAAUAUGUAUACCCACCAUAGGUACCUGUUAUCAGAACUAUCAUAGAUGGGCCUAAGUAUUUAAGAAAGAACAGGUAGGCUCAUAGAAGAGCUCUGGUUUAUAUACUUAGGUGAACUAAUCAAACUUGAUUAUAAUGCAUGUUUAAGUAUAGUGAGUUUCGCGGAACAACCUAGCUAUUACUAGAUCUACGCAAUGUGAGUUUCGCGGAACACCACUUGUUAUUCUAAUAUUAGAGUUUGAGUUUAAGAAUGUUUCGAUAAAACCUAGCUAUUACUAGAUCUACUAAUCAUUUGUUUCCUGAGAAUACCCUAAACCUGACGUUUUAUUAUCUUGACUUACAACCUCCAUCAUCUACUAUUUGCUUACUUUGCUUUCUUUUUAUUUUCUUAUCUUUUGUUUAGAUUAAUUUGAAACCUUAAUCUAUUGUGUGAUCCGAGAGGUUUUUGAAAUUUGACCCUUAAGUACUACAAUCAAUUUCUUAUUUGAGAGAGUGGUCUUAAGGCAAUUUGACCUACAUCUAAUUUGGCACAGUUCCCGAAGUUCUGUACGAUUCACCAUUAGAUUAGGAUUAGAAUUUUGUCUUAGCUUUUGUUUUUGUGUUUCUUUUCACUACAAGAAUAUGGAGCAUUUGUAGCGCCCGAAAAACGCUAUUUAAUUAUACCAUAGCGUUAUUAAAAGCGCUCUAUCAUCGUCCGUCAUAAUAGGUCGGAGACAUAUUGUAGCGCUUUUUUGUUCUGCUAUCAUUAUUUCCUUUAUUACAGCGCUUUUUCUGCUGUAAUCUUUAAUUAUUUAAUAGCGAUUAGUUUCUGAUAUAAAUAACUGUUAUACAUAGCAUAUUGAAUUUGCUACAUAUAAUUAGACAAUAGCAUUUAGUUAAUUGCAAUAUUUAUAUAUUAUGGCAUUUUAAUUAUGCAAUAUUUCUCCAAUUAAUUCCAGUUCAUAAAUUAUAUUUUAAUCCCAAAUUCAGAAAGAAAUUCAUAUUAUUUGGAAAUCAUAACAAAAUUCAGAAAGAAAUUCAUAAAUUCAUAUUAUAUAAAAUUCAAGAUCCCAAAUUACAUUGAAUUGUCAAAGUACUUAACAAACAAAAACAACAAAAACAA
rnacentral:sRNA from 1 species